ensembl:lncRNA
AGCAUAAUAAAUAUUUUCUUUGUGUCCCGAACAGUCGCUGUGUGUGUUCCUCCGUUGAAUUAUGAGGCAACUGAAGGAGAGAAUGUUACUAUCUCCUUCAAAACUGCUGGACUGGAGAGAGCCGAUCAAGUGAAGAUAACUUGGACCAGAGGAAGUCAGAAAAAACUGAUUGCGCAGUACUGUCGCUGUGUCCAUCGUGGAGACUGUAGUGUCAGGGAAACAUCGGGAGUCUUACUGAGAGCUGAAGAAGGAACCGUAACUCUUCUGCGUGUCAGCUCCAAUAACUCAGGCCUCUAUGAAGUAAUAAUCAUUGGGAAAAAUGUUUCUAGGAUAAAUGCCUCACUUGUUGUCAACGAACCUCUGUUGUCCUCCAGUAAUGAGCCACCACAAUCCUCCAUCACAAACCCUCCAGACUCCUCUGAACGCCAAAGGCUUUAUGUGUUAAUUGCUUCAGUUGUAUUCAUCUUGGUGGUCUUGGGGGGUUUGUUUCGUCUGUACAUUUUCAGGAGGAAAUGUAAGUCAUCAGCUGAUGUUGAAGCAGUGUGCUGAACCGCUGCUGUCUCCAGAUUCAGUAUCUUCAAAAAAAAAAAUAAAUUUAAGACUGAAGAUCA